CCAUUUUAGCUAUGUUCAGUUGAGGAACGCAGCAGAUCUGGAUGACAGAAGAAACCGAAUGUUAACCAGGUACAAUACUCAGAAGCUCACUGAGCUGAUUUUACAGUUUUAUGGCAUCAGAGCAGACAUGAAGAGGGAAAGCAAACAUGCCAGGAUGUCUAUGAAAGUAUUUCUUGCUGUCGGAGAACUGUUGGUCUAGCCUGAUGUUGCUGAAUUGCUGGAAACCUGCCCAUUUAAAACAUAAAACCAGAAAAACUUCUCAGACUCUUACAAUUCUGAGACGUCCCCAUUCCUGUUGAAGUCAUAGAGUUGCUUUAUUAUGUUUUUAUUUUUAAAAAUUUUUAUUUACUCGCCACAGAUUUGAAUUGGCUUGGAAGGAUUUAGAUUACUGGAAUCGGAAGCCUCUGUCUGAAUAUUACCCAACACCCAAGAGUGUGGUUCUUAGAACCUCAUCCCUCUGGCUGCUAAAAAAGAAGCAGGACAGCUCCUUUCCCCUGCCGUGAAAUGGAAAUGCUAAUUCAAGUUUUCAACUAGGCUGGAUAUGCUCAUAGGAAAAUAAUCCUUUUUGCUCUUAUGAGAUAGAGGCGUUGAAAAUAGAACCUGUAAAGUUGAGAAAUGCAGUCGUGUUUUCAGUUUUCUACAUUGAGCAUUUAUUACCUUUAUAAUAAAAAAUAUGGUUUAGGCUGCACGUGGUGGUUCACGCCUGUAAUCCCAGCACUUUGGGAGGCCAAGGAGGGAGGAUUGCUUGAGGCCAGGAGUUUGAGACCAGCCUGGGCAACACAGAGAGACCGUGUCUCUAUAAACAGUAUAUAGUUUAACUUGUUUCUGUGGACAGCUUUUUAAAGAAGCCCAUCAUGUGGGUAUUUAUCAUUCAGUGUGUAGACGGUGGCAGAUGUUUAAUCCCGCCCUGCCCCGUCGCUCCUGCUAUCAGGAGAUAAUUCUGGGACAAGUGGUUUUAGCCUCUCGUAAUCUCCAUUACACAGCACAAAACCACCCUAAGAAGCUUACACUGCAGGCUUCUCUACAUGCAGCUCCAAGCAGAGGCCCCAGCCCCAGGCAAAACCUUCUGGGCUUCCCUAUUAUCCGCCAGGCAAAACUGAAAUGACAUUUUAACACUACCACCUAUAAAAUAAAAGCAGGAAGGUAAAUCUGACUGAAAUCAAAUCUGGUAAUUAUUUUAAAGGUAAUAUUCCAAAGCCGAAACAAAACUGUGGGGAAUGGGAGAGGUCUUUGUUUCUUUCUGAUAGAUGAUUUAAAAUGAUCUGCUAUUAGGGACACUUCAUCCCUUAGAUGACCUAUGGGGUCCCCUGCAUUACUAACAAACAGCAGCGAGCGAUCAGUAUCUAACUCCGUGUCACUCUCUGAGAGCACUGUGGCAUCAAGAAAGCUGUCCCAGGAGACCUGGCCUAGGCGCCAGCUCUGUCGCCAAGUAAUUGCAUGGCCUUGGGCAAGUCACUGCACCCCGAAAGCCUCAGUGUGUCCAUCUGCAGAAUGGGGCUGCCAGCUCCUCUCACCUAAUGUUAUGGAGAUGAACGGAGUAUGCGCAAAAGCUCGAGGGGCUGCCUGGAUGGCCUGACCCACUGCCUUGGGCCAGUACACACAGUGUGGGGCCUACCUGGACAUGGUGCUGGGAAGCCUUCAGGUCUUCAGGCAGGGAGUGGUGGCCGGGGAGAGACGGGUAGCACUGGGUGGGGUCCACUUUCCUGGGAACCUGCUUGGUAACUACCUUUCCUCUGUGUUUCUUCUGUAGGAAGGCCAACAGCUCAGGAG
rnacentral:sRNA from 1 species